UACGUAGGGUGCAAGCGUUAAUCGGAAUUACUGGGCGUAAAGCGUGCGCAGGCGGUUUUGUAAGACAGUUGUGAAAUCCCCGGGCUCAACCUGGGAACUGCAUCUGUGACUGCAUAGCUAGAGUACGGUAGAGGGGGAUGGAAUUCCGCGUGUAGCAGUGAAAUGCGUAGAUAUGCGGAGGAACACCGAUGGCGAAGGCAAUCCCCUGGACCUGUACUGACGCUCAUGCACGAAAGCGUGGGGAGCAAACAGG
rnacentral:rRNA from 1 species